GGGUAUGUAGCUCAACUGGCAGAGCAAUAGGCUUUUAACUUAUUGGUUGUAGGUUCAAGUCCUACCAUACCUA
rfam:Ostreococcus tauri mitochondrion, complete genome.